CUGAGGUGAGGCCCAAUACCCCGCAUCUGCAAUAAUUCUGAUGCAAGAGGUCACUGGUGAUUCCACAUGCAGCUGCCUGUAAGAACCACAGCGAUCUCAUUUCCCCAGAUGAGAACACAGGCAUGAGAAAGAGAAGCAAUUUGACUAAGAUGGAAAGACAGAGUUUACAGUCCAACAGGGAGACUGGCAUGAAACAAACAUAGAAAUAAAUACACAGCCGCAAAGAAUGGCCAAAGUUUCAGGUUCCACGUGGGAGCAAAAGGACACAGCAGUUCCAGCUCUUAUCUUCUGACAAGUUUCAGGCAUAGUGGAAAGAAAUCACUGAGAAGGUUGAAGAAACAGACGCUAGCCUGAGCUUCCUGGAAUGAUCAUGAAGUCACACUGCAGAACCAGGCCACCGAGAGCUGCUGCCUCAUCUGCAUCAGAAAGCACCAUCAACAACACAUUCCCCAUAAUCAUGAAGCCACUCUUCCACCAGCUCCUGAGCCACCACAUGCCUGAUGUGUUCCAGACAGACUGGGUGCCCAAGUCCUGCCUCUCAACACCCACCCAGCCAGCGAAGGGUCCCUUGAGUUUUGCUCACAUUGUUGAAGUAGAACCAGGCUUGUCAGCAAAAGAGGAGAAGUAAACUCUCUAUUAUUUUCACCCCAGAGAAUCCAGGUGUUGAGAGACUUGAUCUGGGGAAGUAAGUUGCAAGCAUGAUGACAAUUUACCUCUGAAUAGAUCAGCUGUUAUCUCAGAAGAACAAGGACAUUCUCCUCCACAACUAUUAUCACAGUCAAUAAAGUUAAAUUGACACGAUAAUAUUGACCAAUAGAUACUCCAUAUUAAUUUUCUCCAAAUGUCCCAAUAAUGUCCUCCUUAAUCUAGGAUCUUAACAAGGGUCACGGGUCAGGUGAUUAGUUAUCCUCCGCCUUUUCUUUCUUUCAUGACCAGGGCAUUUUUAAGGAGUC
rnacentral:lncRNA from 1 species